rnacentral:rRNA from 1 species
AGUGAACGCUGGCGGUAGGCCUAACACAUGCAAGUCGAACGGCAGCACAGUAAGAGCUUGCUCUUACGGGUGGCGAGUGGCGGACGGGUGAGGAAUACAUCGGAAUCUACUUUUUCGUGGGGGAUAACGUAGGGAAACUUACGCUAAUACCGCAUACGACCUACGGGUGAAAGCAGGGGAUCUUCGGACCUUGCGCGAUUGAAUGAGCCGAUGUCGGAUUAGCUAGUUGGCGGGGUAAAGGCCCACCAAGGCGACGAUCCGUAGCUGGUCUGAGAGGAUGAUCAGCCACACUGGAACUGAGACACGGUCCAGACUCCUACGGGAGGCAGCAGUGGGGAAUAUUGGACAAUGGGCGCAAGCCUGAUCCAGCCAUACCGCGUGGGUGAAGAAGGCCUUCGGGUUGUAAAGCCCUUUUGUUGGGAAAGAAAAGCAGCACGUUAAUACCCCGCUGUUCUGACGUUACCCAAAGAAUAAGCACCGGCUAACUUCGUG